CGCGAGUAAAAUGCGUUUGCGUGCCCCACGUUCGAUUUCACACAAAACGAUACAUAAAAUAUAGGACUUUCACAAAAUUACCAUUUCGCCACUAAUGACCCCUCCUUGAUCAACGCGCAAUAUCAUGAAAUCCAUCUAUCAGAUUUGUGAACGGAUCGCACCAGUGCGAUCAGCACAACAGAGACCUCAAACCCACGAUUUCGUUUCACCUGUUUUGGUCACAGAUUCGCGACGAAAUCCAUCCUCUCUCCAAUAGGCAAAACCCACACACAAAUACGUAAAAUAUAUGUAUCUCCAGUUUUCUCAAAAUUCGUGCGUCAAACCUGAAAUCCGUCAGCAUCAAUGGGUCCAGGAUAGUCGAACCAUUGAAAACGAGCUAUUGGAUUACUAUGAACGAAGUCCGAUACGCGCCUGAAGCCAUCUCUACUCAUUGGCCUCUCCGAAAAACUGGGUACUAUUCACUUUAAAUGAAUCUUAUUUC
rnacentral:lncRNA from 1 species